AUUGAACGCUGGCGGCAGGCCUAACACAUGCAAGUCGAACGAGUGGCGGACGGGUGAGUAAUGUCUGGGACACUGCCUGAUGGAGGGGGAUAACUACUGGAAACGGUAGCUAAUCCCGCAUACCAUCGUAUGUUCCCAGAUGGGAUUAGCUAGUAGGUGGGGUAAAGGCUCACCUAGGCGACGAUCCCUAGCUGGUCUGAGAGGAUGACCAGCCACACUGGAACUGAGACACGGUCCAGACUCAUACGGGAGGCAGCAGUGGGGAAUAUUGCACAAUGGGCGCAAGCCUGAUGCAGCCAUGCCGCGUGUAUGAAGAAGGCCUUCGGGGUGUAAAGUACUUUCAGUGGGGAGGCGUUACCCGCAGAAGAAGCACCGGCUAACUCCGUGCCAGCAGCCGCGGUAAUUC
rnacentral:rRNA from 1 species